ACACGUGGACACUGGCUCACAUCCAUAAAGUGCUUCCGUAGAUGAGGGGAUUAAGAAAGCUGCAUUGCAGGCAGGAGAACUACUUCUACCAGGUGUGUGCUUGACUGGCAAAUACCUGCUGUACCCCAGUUUCCCUGUUGUAUAAGGACAGGCCGCAAUGAGCCAUCGCUAAGGUUGUUCCAGCUCUGAUCCUGAAUCAGUUGCGGUGAUGGGGAUGCCAGGAAACUGGGUCAUUGGCCUGCUCCUGCCUGCAGAGCUCUGGGUUCCUCCUCUUACUCAACUCCAAGAUUCUAGAAGAAGACCCCAUACUCACUCUUCUUGCAGGAGGUGCAUCUGCACUCUUUGCAUUUGCAGGAGCCAGCACAGGUGCAGGAGCCAUCUACAAGGAAGACAAGGACAAGCAGGGAGCAUGAGUGUGAGACAGGAGAUUGAGGAGUCAGUCAACAAACCCUCCCUGCAGCCGCUACGCUGUCAGGUCCCAGUUUAGAAGCUCCUACCCCACACAGGGUAAAUAGAAGCCCCACCUUCUCUCUUCUGGUGCUGGGAAAAGUAGGGCACCUCCUGAUUUUGCUCCACACCCAGCUCAGGCAGAGCAGGGCUGAGGGCUAUGGCCUUAUGCCCUGAACCCUGAAAAGGCAAUGUCUCCAACCGCCAACAGCUCCUGGCAGCUACCAGAGCAGCUCUGAGUCUCCGUCCAGCAUCUCCUGAACAACCGACCAUGUGACCUUUGAAUUACAGCCUCGAGUCCCAGGAACCUCGACGCUAAAAGAGACGCAACUGGAGGUACACUGACCUGCGCCUGGGAAAGGGGCAUCGUACGGCUCCGAGCCGGGGGCCUCUUACCAGUGCAGCAGGAGCAGUUGGGGUCCAUUUCGAGCCGAGCUGAGGUGAGGCGAGCUGAGGUGAGGCGGGAGGUCCAAGCAGGUGGCAAAGCGGCAGCGGCACCUGGGCGGGAGGAGCGCGUGCUGUUGCCGAGCAAGCGCCCGCACUCACUUUAUAGGCGGAGGAGGCGGUCCGGGCGCAGAGGCCCCCCCACCUCGCCCUCCGGCCUUGCGCCCCGCCCCGCGGAGGCCGCGCGGCCCGCAGCGACGUUGGCAGGGCUGUGAAUACCCUGCCGGGCCGGGCGCACGGUCCCCGAGGACACCUGGGCUCUGUGCGCACAGCCCGUGCUGCCCUUUGGCGUCUGCUCCCAAGGAGGGGCUGUGCGCGGACCGCACGCCGUGUCCCAACCGCCCUGCCCGCCGUUCAGUUCUCUCGAUGUUGGCAGCCACCCCGUGUUCCCGAGUGUCCGGGAUGUUACCGCCUGAGUCCUCAAGGUCUUUACCCACCUCCGGCCCCGCACCGUUGGUCUCGGGUUCGUCCUUUUCCUAGUCCGUGUGCAAUCCCAGCCUCCUGCGCAAUCCCAGUUUCGUGGGCAAUCCCACCUCGUGUGCAAUCCCAGCCUCAUGCUCACCACCCUGGCUUGGCGAGAGCCCGGGAGUUGGGUGCAAACACCAGCGGUAGGUGACCUUCACUCCCCACUCGCCUUCCCCAUCCCCGCCCAGAAUUGCCUGUCCUGGACCCCACUACAGUCCUCCUGCCGCGUUUUUCCUGUACACAGUACCUAGGUGAACACAGGCCUUUUUCUCCCUUCCCUCCUUCCUUCCAUUCUCCAGGACAAAAGGGAUGUAUAGGCACAUUUGUCUAGGUGUUCCUUUUCCUAAACUUCCAGGGUUUCUUCUGCCCAGUCAGUCUACCCUACUGCAAGUGGAGGUUCCCAAAGCAUGGAGUGCCCCCCAUCCACCAGAGAAGGGAUCAUUUUAGGUGAUAGGCAGACCUAUUAAUAGGCAUUAAAUAGCAAAGUCAGAAAGGUGAUUAUUUCCCUUGUAGUAUUCCUGGCAAUUACAUAACAUUUAGACUGUGCCAGGCUUUGAUGAAUCACUUUCACUCUGUGAACACUAACAACCUUUAGGGAAAAUAUUACUGAUGAGCUGGUUCCCCAAAGGCAAACCUGUGUACAACACAGGAGUUUACCUAACUACCCCAGGGUCACAGGGCUGGAAAGCAGUGCCCUGGGUCUGAUUCCAGCCACAUCCCAAAAGAAAGAGAAAGUCCAUGAUAAAACUUCCCUUUGGCCCAGAGAAAUGUCUGCAGCCCCUCUCUACCACAUCAGGCUCAAUCCUGGGAGUGAUGAAAGUGAUACGAAAGGAAUAUACACAUGCUUUUGUGUCCUCCUUCUGUGUCUGGAUGCAAACCAAUUCUCAUUUUCCAUAGUGCUAAUGACUCUGUAUUGCAAAAAUAUAUAGUUAAGAAAAAAUAUGUUGUUUAUAAGGCAAUGUGAAGUAAAAUUACUAGUGGAGGUGGGCAGCAGAAAUGGCAGCCAUCCUUCUGUAUCCAUUAUGAGGACACAGACUGUCUCACUCAUGGCUUUAUCUCUUUAGUGCUGAUCCCUCUUUUAUAGGAAUAACCCUCUCUGGGCAACUGGUUAUGUGCGCAUGUGACUGAUGAAGAUAAAACAAGAUACACACCUAAGCAACCAGGCAUGGCUUAUUUCUUUGGAAGUAGAAUGAUAUCUCCUAUGCUAUGAAUGAUAUUAAUAAAAUAAUAGCUGAUACUAUA